GAUGAACGCUGGCGGCGUGCCUAAUACAUGCAAGUCGAGCGAACGGACGAGAAGCUUGCUUUUCUGAUGUUAGCGGCGGACGGGUGAGUAACACGUGGAUAACCUACCUAUAAGACUGGGAUAACUUCGGGAAACCGGAGCUAAUACCGGAUAAUAUUUUGAAGCGCAUGGUUCAAAAGUGAAAGACGGUCUUGCUGUCACUUAUAGAUGGAUCCGCGCUGCAUUAGCUAGUUGGUAAGGUAACGGCUUACCAAGGCAACGAUGCAUAGCCGACCUGAGAGGGUGAUCGGCCACACUGGAACUGAGACACGGUCCAGACUCCUACGGGAGGCAGCAGUAGGGAAUCUUCCGCAAUGGGCGAAAGCCUGACGGAGCAACGCCGCGUGAGUGAUGAAGGUCUUCGGAUCGUAAAACUCUGUUAUUAGGGAAGAACAUAUGUGUAAGUAACUGUGCACAUCUUGACGGCACCUAAUCAGAAAGCCACGGCUAACUACGUG
rnacentral:rRNA from 1 species